rnacentral:rRNA from 1 species
CGACGAGUUUGAUCAUGGCUCAGAACGAACGCUGGCGGCAGGCCUAACACAUGCAAGUCGAACGGCACCUUCGGGUGUAGUGGCGGACGGGUUAGUAACGCGUGGGAACGUACCCCUUUCUGCGGAAUAGCCACUGGAAACGGUGAGUAAUACCGCAUACGCCCUUCGGGGGAAAGAUUUAUCGGGGAGGGAUCGGCCCGCGUCUGAUUAGAUAGUUGGUGGGGUAAUGGCCUACCAAGUCUACGAUCAGUAGCUGGUUUUAGAGGAUGAUCAGCAACACUGGGACUGAGACACGGCCCAGACUCCUACGGGAGGCAGCAGUGGGGAAUCUUAGACAAUGGGUGCAAGCCUGAUCUAGCCAUGCCGCGUGUGUGAUGAAGGCCUUAGGGUCGUAAAGCACUUUCGCCAGAGAUGAUAAUGACAGUAUCUGGUAAAGAAACCCCGGCUAACUCCGUG